GGAGGAUAGUCACGAGUUCAAGGCCAGCCUGAACUACAAGAGACAGAAGAAUGCCCAGGAGCAGGCGUUAGGAACAGAACUCGGGCCUGACUCACAGGCGGAGAGGAGAGGCAGCCGGAGGAGGUGGACAGGAAUCCCGGUGACCGGGUGAUUACCCGCCAGGACGGUGGCUGAAGCAUCACUUGGAGGGGCUGAGGAUACUGAAGGCGCAGAGAGCGAAGCGGGGUGGACAGCAGCCCUGAGUCCAUCUUACAAAGUCAGUUGUGCCGUCUGGGCAAGCCUGUCUCCUGCCUUCCCGGUGCUGCCCUUGCCAGGGGGAUCAGCAGCAGAGGAAGCGCCGCAGUCUCCAUGGGUGCAGUGUACCCUCACCAGCAGCGCCCGGCCUCCGGGGCCACCGAGUCCGUUCUCCCAGUUCUCCCUGCCGCUGUAGCCGCCCUAGUGCACUCAUCUCCGCAGAAGGAAGCUCCUCAAAGGCUGGGACAAGCCUCACUCACGUCCUCAGCCCCAGCCCGAGGCCAGGCGGGCAGGAGUGUUCGGUGAACCGUAGGUGAUGGAUGAAUGGCACACUCCAGUACAGGUGGCCAAACCGCAGUGGAUUGAACAGACCCAGCGCCUUCCCGCGGAAGCUGGUCCCAGGCUCUGCAGCUCCGCACUGAUUCAGGGCAGACCCCGGGCGAUGUUUCAUACUGCUGUUCGCCACCAGCUCCUGUGCCAAACAAGUGCAGUCAAGUAGAGGCAGAGAGUAGAGUUUUGUCUCUGGGGAGAAGAAGAGAGGGGCAGCCUGGGGCCCUGUGGGCAUGUAGGUCCCCUGGGGGGCCAGCAGUAUCUCUUCACAGACUCUCGGUGUGAUGCAGUCACUCACGGCCCCACACUGGCUUUAGUGGGCUGCCAGAGGAGCCAUCUUGAAAUUCCUCGGGACUUGGUGAGACCCUGCAUUUUCAUUUUGACUUGGGUCCUGCCAAGCUGGUCUUGAAGCUGGUCCCAGCUGGGAGACACCAAAAAGGGAGGAAAGGACACAAAGAGACAAGCACUAGAAAAGUGAUGUCACACACCCCUUGUUUUGCAGGAGGCCUAGUGGCUGAGCCUUCAGUGUGGGCAGAAGGACAGAGGCAACAGACAGCCCCAGGGUGAGCGCCAGCUGCUGCCUCCUGCAUCUCGGCCACAUGGGCAGGCCUCUGAGACACCCUGGGGACCCCAUCACCGGCCAGCCACCUGUAGCACUUGAGUGACGCCAUCUGGGUUGUGCCAUUGAUGGCUCAGGCUUCCUUCCUUUGGAGCAGACGACGAAGCAUUCCAUGUCCUUUGCUAAUGUCAUGCCGCUGGCCUUAUUAAUGCUCCAGGAGGUCACCGGGCAGCAAGGGUGAUCAGAGCCACCCCAUACACAAAGUAGCAGCUACAGCUGAGAUGCUAGAGAUUAUUCAAUGCAUGUAUUAUACAAAGCUGCACUUCAUUUGGUGAAUAACCAGUGGUUACAGCUUGCUGGGAAAGAGUCCUAAUCAUUAAUAUCCUAUCUCAGGGCCAGGAAAAUACCAUGUUGGUGAACACACGGUGGCUGGGUAUUUCGCCCUUUCCCUUUUGAAACAAAAGAUGACAAUCUGCUUUAUCUAAUACGUUUCCUCAGUGCGUUCAUCACUAGUACUGUCAUCUUCCUUUCCAGAUAAGGGCUCUUCUCGCACCACUGGCCAAGCCUUGCUGUCUUCACGUGUCGUGUACUUGUUCUGAGCACAAACUGGGAGGAGAACUGGUAGAACACUUUGUUCUUCCCCUCGCACUGCUUUGAACUUCUGGGCGGCAUGCUAUUCCCUCCCUCUGCCCUGCCUGAUAAGCAGCAGUGUUCGUGGGACAAUGGGCAUCUGGAAAGGGCCCCCUGGUGUAAACACAGUGGGAAGUUGGGAUCCUGCACCAAUCACAGACAUGGCCCUGGCAGCUGUGGCUUUGAGGACCCUGCACACUGCUGCUUCGCGUUGUCAGAGCCCUGGCUCUGUGUGUCACAUGCAGUUCUGCAAAGCGCCUGCGAGAAGUGACUCAGGUGGACAUGAGUGACAGAGGGCAGCAGUGUCGCUGGAGGCCACUUCGUGCACAGGAAGCUCCUGUGAAGGUUUUAUCGGUGUUCGGGAGAUCCUGGGCCCUGGCAGGACAGAACUGCGGAGUACACAGAGCGCGAGGUGCCCGCCUCAGCCUCCUCACAACCGUGUCUCCACCGACUCCGCCGCAUUGCACGAACAGACGAGGGCUCUGACGGUGGCCCGGCCUUCGGAUCCAUUCCGCAAGGUGCUGUCGCAGCUCAGUCCACCGUGUCCCGAAUGCUUCUCCGGCUGGGGAUUUUCUGGCCAACGGCCCCAGAAGGAAGAAUUUUAAUUGCACCCAUGAGAAGAUAGGAACCAACGAAGCAGAGCUCUGUCUGGAGCCGCUGAGCGUGUGCCUCAAGAAGCGUGCAGGGCAGGACGCCCGUGCCUCAUUCUGCGGCUGCCAGGGGUUUGACGGCACAGAGAGCGCCAACCCUUGUGUGUAGGAGACAGGGUCUCACUAUGUAGUCCAGGCUGGCCUGGAAC